rnacentral:pre_miRNA from 1 species
GUGCAUUGUAGUUGCAUUGCAUGAUCCUGAAGUCGAGUGCAAUGUGUCUGCAGUGCAGUA